ensembl:lncRNA
GAAAAAGCAAAGAGAAGAAGGCAGCCUCUCUUUCUCACAGGAAACAAAAAGGAGCACGGCUCUUCUUUUUAUCCAAUUACCAGCAGAGCAGACGCACGUCUGACAUUGAGGAUGGAUGAAAGGUGGAAGCUGCCUGCAGUGACAGCAUGACUGCUUUUCACAUGAUGCUCUUCUGGGGACCUGCGGCCCUUUGUGGAAGGUGGGGAUGGCCCCUUCCAGCCGCUCUUCACCGUGUGCCACGUCUCAGGUUCUCUUUUUGUUCAUCUGAGACACAGAACACCUCUUGAUGAAGGUCACAGCUUUGAUCCCCGUGGCUCGCUCUUGUGUUUGUAGCCAUUAUUAGUAACAUCAGCUCGUGCAUGCACUUCUCCCUGCCUGCCCUUGUCUGGCUGCAAGGGAGCAGGGGCAGGAUAACAAAAGAAAGUAUAAAUAGUCUUUUUAAAAGCCUGUUAAAUAGAAGUAGACUUUUUAGGGAGGAGGGAGAAAGAAUGAGGCGUGUUACCAUAGUAACUGCCAAUGGUUUAUUUAAGAAGGGCAAAGAAACAAACACCACAAAAAGGCGAAGUCGAGAGGAGCUGGAGAUCACUGGAGGAAUCUGUCGGGACACAGACAACAUGGGGCCAGAAACUUGGUCUGAACUCCCAAAUGGACAAAUACAUUCCUCACCAAAGACACACACUGAACAGCUGUUGAAUGAACACAAAUAUUACUUGAUUGCUUGAAAUUAAAGGGGAGGAUGCAAUCCUGAUAAAGUGUCUGUGGGAGCAGAUUGCAAGUUGUUCUGAUGAAGAAGAGGCACUUUGUUUAACAUGAAAUUUCACCACAUGGUUUAUUUCUCAGUUCUCUUUGUAAUAGAUGUACAGAGUUUGGCCAAAGGUCAGGCAAGCUCUAGAAGGACCAUCAGUGUGUUUCACUCUCAUUUAGAAUGUGAAAUAGGUCUGGAAAAUAUUAAAGCUUCUCAGUGAAUACAAAUUCCAAUGAAUUCAUGGUUGGUCUUAUAAUAUUACUGCUAUUGUUACUUUCAUAAUGUAGCUGUUUAUUAACAUUCAUAAUGUUGCUGUUUAUAAAUUUCUGAAGUUCAGGAGUCAAGUGGUUGGGACAAGAUUCUUUUCAGUGGUGUCCAACUACAGAACAAGGGGCAAUGGGCAGAAACUGGAACACAUGGAAGAAUUUUUUUUACUGUGAGUGACAGAAUGCUGGAACAGGCUGCCCAGAGAGGUUGUAGGCUCUCCUUUUCUGGAGAUAUUUAAGACCCAUCUGGAUAUUUUCCUGUGGGACCUAUUAUAGGGAACGUGUUUCAGCAGGGGGGUUGGACUUGGUGAUCCUCAGAGGUCCCUUCCAACCGCUACAAUUCUGUGACUGUGUGAUAGCUACCCUGCUGAAAUCAGCAGCCUCAGUCAACUCACUGGUAAAAAAAAAAAUUCUUUGCUCUUAUUUCUAAUGCAAGAUGUCAUGAUUGCAUCAGUUCAAAUGCUCACUUUGUCCAGUUUUGUUGAGAUGUGUGUAUGGCAAUAUGCAUGACUUGGAAAUAAUCAUGGAAGGAAAAUUCAUUUCUGAAUAUCCUCUUUGGCCAUCAAAGCAGCAGGUCUCCCAGAUAAUCACCACAGAUCAGAAAGAUGCAAAUGGUAUUCAGAUAGCUCACUUUAAGCAGAUGUACCUUGGCAGUAGAAUAGUAAAUUCCCUCCUCAAAAUGUUGACUCAGAUGAAUGCUUUUCAGAAAUAAAAUGGUGUUAAAGGUGUUUUGUUUUUUUUAAUGAUACCAAUAGGCACCAAUAUUUUUUAAAAGCUAAUCUUCAAAAAACUGAAGGUUUUUUUGAAACUUUUAGAAUAUGUGUAUGUGGUUUUUUUUUGUGACAAUUUAGAAGUUCAGAUAGCCCCACUCCUGAAAACUCUUCCAAGCAAUUUGAAGAAGAUUCAUCCUUCUGUGUUCAUCCUUCAUGUUUCUGGUGCCUAACUCCAAGACACUUUGGUUUGUUAAAAGAAUUCUAUUUUCUUCCAGAAUGUCAGCAAUGCCAGGGUGAGAUGUGUCUUUCAGUCACUUCAGCAUCAUUGAUUCAAUGACUGUAUUAUCUGCAAUUUCUUCAUGGUGUUACAUUGUAGUGCCAAAUAUUUUCACUUCAGUUAAAAUAAAAUUCUUCCAACCAAUUGUGACUUGGUGUCUGUGAUUAUAAUGACAUGAAGGGAAAUGUAAAGGACUUGUUAGACUCAGUGAUCCUUUUGGGUCCCUUCCAGCUUUUAUGAAUCUAGGGUUGUUUCACCAGGACUUUGUUGGAGUGAGAUUGGCUAACAUAUUUUCAUCUUAUUUUAGUUUUCCAAUAGCAACUGAUAAAUACCACAAGUGUGAAGCAAUGAUGAGCUCCGCAAAUCAAAAAGCAAUGCAAACGAAAGAUACUAAUAAUCUUUACAUGAUGAGAUCACAGUUUGAAUGGGAGCAUUGGCACAGCAGCAGCAACUAGCACAAAGAUGUCCCUGUCCCCAGCAAUAAACC